GAUGAACGCUGGCGGCGUGCCUAAUACAUGCAAGUCGAACGAACAGGCCCGGCGCUUGCGGGGUGCACGAGUGCCGCACAGGUGUGUAAAACACGUGUAUACCCCACCUAUCAGACGGGUAACACCAGGAGACUCCGGCUAAUACCCCGUAGGAUCUAUUGAACCACGGGGGGCGUUGGAGAGAUUCGGCGGUUGUGGCUGGACUCGCGGCUUAUCCGCUGGAUGGUGGGGUAGGGGCUUACAAAGGCUUUGACGGGUAGGCGGCCUGAGAGGGUGACCGGCCACAUUGGGACUGCGAUACGGCCCAGACUCCUACGUUCGGCAGCAGUGGGGAAUAUUGCACAAUGGGCGGAAGCCUGAUGCAGCAACGUCGCGUGCGUGAUGCCGGCCUUCGGGUGGUAAACCGCUGUCGCCGGAGACGAAGCGGGAGUGACGGUACUGGGUAAGGAAGCCCCGGCUAACUACGUG
rnacentral:rRNA from 1 species